UGUUCUGGGUUGGUACCCUGGGGAUUCAAUCUGUGAGGCAGGAAGCCAGCUAGUAGGACUUUCACUUUGUUGGGAGUUCCUAUUUCCUUUUUUUCCUCUUUGCCCAAUAAAUUCAAUUUUUCUCACCCUUCAAAGUGCCUGUGAGCCUAAUCUCUCCUGGCUAUGUGACAAGGACCCCGUUUUUAGCUGAACUAAGGAGAAAGUCCUACAACAUAACUAGAUGAGGUUACGGCAGGCACUAAAUCUGCCCCGAGUGCUUGACUCAGCCUCACUUGAUCCGCUGCAACAGCCUCCCCUCUGGACUGAGAUGGCCAUCUUGCCUGUUUUCAUAAAAGUCUGAAAUACGGAGGAGACCCUGAUUUAUAUUUUCCAUAGAAGAGAAGAGAGAUUGAGAUGACUCUCUUGCAGUGAGGUAUGGCGUGUCCUCUCCAUGACAAUGUGAGGGAAAGUGAUGUAUGCCACUUCCAGGUUCUAUGGAACCCUGGAAUGAAGAGGAUGCCAACCUUGAAAAGCUAUUCUAGUUCUUUCAAUGUGCCAUAAUGGUAUAGGAGCAAAUGUUUCUGCUGAGGUGAGGACACCAUGUUCCUCUACUGUUGUGGAUGCAGCCCUCACCAGACGACCGAACCUGCCAGUGCCUUGUUCUUGGACUUCCUAGCCUUCAGAACUGCCAGAAUCCUGCUAGGACAUCUCUGCCUGUGGAAGGAGGGCUGGAUGGCAUACUGGGAAUGGCUUUCUAGGAUGACUUCCUGUUGCUACAGACUACAAGAAGCAUUUCUGGCCUUGAUGUUGUCUGAAUGAAGAAGACAUAGGAGUUUCACCAAAGCCUACAGGAAUGAGGAAGCAGGAAGGGCCAGAGUGAAGUGGAAACUUUGAACUUGAAGUUGGAAGACACUGUAAUGAAAGCUGGCUGAGCAAAAACCCAGAGCAUAAUUUCUCACUGGCUGGCUGCUCCAGAUAGUAAUAGCUUCAGUGCCCUUCAGAGUGGAAUUUUCCUGAGCCUGUGAAGAUGUGUGAGGUGUACCCAGCAGGUAGGAUCCUGAUUGUUACACGAACUGUCCACCUCCAUCCAGAGCCGUGUGGCUUGUAGUGCCUUCUCGUGGCAGAUGCAGAAAAGGGCAACCUGUAUCCAAAAGGUGAAAUCAAUAAAUGCAUGAAAAAAAUGCAUAUGAUAGUUUGAUCUGCAGUAGUUUGAAUCUGAGGAUGCUGAACCUGUGGAUAAGGAGAGCCUACUUUUCUUGGACAAAUGCCCUGUGUCAGAAGAGUGUGGUAAACAGAAGCUCAGCUCCUUCAAGGAUGACAGCCUUGGUUACACCACCAGGCUGAAGUGCGGUGGCCCAGUCAUAGCUUACUGCAAACUUGAAAUCCUGGGCUCAAGCAAUACUCCUACUUCAACCUCCUGGGUAGCUGGGACUACUCAUGCCACCAUGCCCAGAACAUUUACUGGUGAUGAGAGACUCUAAAGAAGUCACAGCUUGCUUCCUUUCUGAAGAACGUUGUGAUUUUGGCUCACGUGCAGUGCACGACAACUCUUCUCCAACAGCAUGACAUAGUCCACUGUCUCAGGAUCCCAUUUUUCCACCAGCUGCAGAGCAGGAAGGGACAAAUCAAAGUGUGAGCAUUCGGAUCACCAACGCUGUGACCUCGCUGUGUGAACGGGAGCUACUACAGGAAGGAAGCUUACAAAUGAGCUGCAUGGAUCCCACAUUUUGCUAAAAUCAAAUAGGACCUUUCUCCUCUUUGUUGAAUGCCGUAAUACACAAGAAAUAAGCCAGCAGGAUGCUCAUGUCCAAGGUUUCCCUUUAUCUACCACACGAGUUGGCAUGAAACAACUUCUGGGGUUCAAAUCUUCUGAACAAUGAUACAAGUCUUGGCAAAUUUCAAGAAUAAUUUAAAGAGGAAAUAAAUAGCUUUUUGUUUAACUUGGAUCAAUUAUCUCCUAUUGCUCCCAGCUUCAUGCCAGGUACUCUCCACUGUGCCUGGGAAAUAUGAAUCCCUGCCCUCAUGAAAAAACAUUGGCCAUGAGGAUUUUCCCUACAACCCAAGAACUAUUUGAAGUUUGAAGUCUUUCAGCCCAGACAACACUGGCUAUUUUCACCUUUGCCUUCAACUAUAAAGGCUGGGCUCUCUCUGCAGGAGUGGGUUACUGCUGGCAGAACAGAGAAAGAGAGAGAGCAGGAGAGAGAGAGACAGACAGAAUCCACUAGUAGAAUAAGCCAUGAUCACCACUCAAAACUUCUUUAAUUUUUGCAUCUGGCAAGAGUUUCUGCAAAUUCCCUGUGGUAAAGAUGGCAGGCUGCCCUGGAGAUCUUCUCUUCCUUGUGGGUUGGCUGUGGCUCGGAAGUGGCGGCUUCCUGGAGCCUGUGUGUCCAUUCCCAACUUCCUUGCAUCUAGAGCCUGUUUACUAGCAUGUCACUGCCUAUCACACAAUAAGGCUGGUGAAAUUCUAUUGAAAUAAUCCAUGUAAAAUGCUCAGUGGAGUGCACGAUACAAGUCAAUUCACUUCAGAAAGUAUCUACCCCCGUGUCCCCAGCAGCACAUUUCAUCCACACCACGAAGCGAACAGAAAGAGACCUAAAGCUUGGUCUAUGUGCUUCUGCCACUCACGUCUGAGGUGUGAUGAAAGAGCACCUGGUUCCCUUAGAAUCACAGAAGUAAAGAAGUAGUUGGGAUUCAUCAGAGCAUGCUGUGCCAGCUUCUCAGAUGAGUGUAUCCUUGAAUACCCAGUAUCCAGAGCUUCUCUCUGCAUCCCUUUGACUUUUACCAGUAAGGCUCUUUUCCCUUUACUCAGAAUGAGCAUGCCAACCUUUUUCCAUUUUUUUUCCAAGUCUUGCUAGUAACCUUUUGUGGAACCCACCAGCUAACUCUUCUGAGAAGAGAGAAACUAGAGCUGUCUAUUGCAACUCUCUCAUCUUUCUACUCUGGUCUACAAAGGCUUCUGCAAUCCUACUCAACAUUUCUUUUCUCGGUACAUUUUCUCAGUGGAAAACAUUUCUGCCUUCAAUCCAAGACUAAAUUCUCUGCCUGUGUCCCUGGGCUUCUGUGAUGAGUAUUCUCUCUCCCUAGAACUCCCUUUUCUCACUGCCCUUGUAAUGGAACUCAGCUCCAGUCUUGCCUCCUCUAAGUAGGGUGUCUUCUCUUUUUCUGGGCACCAUUACACACUCAGGAACCUCAAAGGAAUGCAAACCCAUGGCAGCGAUUUCAUCUCCCCUAGCAUGUUAGGUUGGUGUCCUCAUUAGAACUAUUAUGCCCUCAAAUGAGGAAGCUUAUCUUAUUUGACAGAUGGAUAUUUGUCUGAAAUUUUCCAUAUUUGUUUUAAUACUUAUUAAAAGUGUGAUAAAUCUUUAUUGAGGAAAGUUCAGAAAACAGAAACCUAUAAGAACAUACAAAUAAUUACUGAUGUCCCACUUCAGAAAUGGUUACUCUUCAGUUGUGUAAAUUUCCCUCUAGUCAUUUUCUUUACCAAAUUUAUAGAAAUAACAUUCCAUUUUACAUUUGUAAAAUGUUUAUAAUUUAUAUCUUUCUUUCCGGCUCAACAUUAUAUUAUAAGCAGUAGUUCACAGCAUUAAAA
rnacentral:lncRNA from 10 species